GUCUACGGCCAUGCCACCCUGAACAAGCCCAAUCCCGUCUGAUCUCGGAAGCUAAGCAGGGUUAGGCCUGGUUAGUAUUUGGAUGGAAGAUCACCUAGGAAGACCAGGUGCUGUAAGCG
rnacentral:rRNA from 1 species